rnacentral:rRNA from 1 species
CACCGCGGUUAUACGAGAGGCCCAAGCGGAUGGGAAACGGCGUAAAGAGUGGUUAGGGAAAACUUAGUACUAAAGCUAAACGCCUACAGAGCCGUUAUACGCACCCGAAGGCAUGAAAACCCCCCACGAAAGUGGCUUUAAACCCCCCGAACCCACGACAGCUUUGACA